UUUUGCUUUUCUGCCAAAAUACUGUCCUGGACUUUCCUCCAGGAUCAAAGUGACAUAGGGAAGUUUAAGGCCACAGAAAUGUGACUAAGUGGACAUCGAUCAACACUGGCAAAAGCAGAUGACUUUUCCCACAGUCUCUCAUGCUCAAGUCCACAAUAGAUAGGUAGAUAAUUGUUCCAAGGGCAAAAUCUUCUAGCUCACUGACCCUGACGCCCACGUCGCUGAUGAAAUAAAAAUGCGGUUGAAAAUGACAGUGUCUGAGAAGCAGACUGGAACUGCCUUCUAUUGCACACAAUUAGCAAUGAAAUUGAGAACCGCUUUCUUUCUCAAAUAAAAUCACCAGCCAUCGAGUUGCAAUUGAAAAUCGCCACUUUGAUUUCAGCCAGUAAUUCUGAACUUCCUCCUCUUUUUAUUUUCUAGAGCUUUUUUUCCCCCUUCCCUCCACUCUCAGCAGUAGAGAAUAAUGAGCAAACAGUUAAAUUGGGUGAGCUCUGAGUUCCAGCCGAGAUUUAUGGUCUGCUUUUCUUCCAGAGGGACCAUAAAACCACCAGACAUCUCAUUUUGAAAUCUCUCGUAUUAAGCAGAGAGAUGGGUGUGGUGUGAAAGUGAACUUGGGGUGGGGAGCAAUAUUUAGAGGAGUUUUAUGCUUUCAAAUAGAGGAAUCCCUGUGAAGGCUUCCAGCCAUGGGCAUGAGGAUCUCAGCCCACACCCCCUGCCCCAGGCCAACCCUUUUACAAAACCAUCCUUUUUAAUUUCAUCCUAAGUCCAUGUCAACCCAAAUCAUCAGGAUAACAAGAUACUGAAAGUGACUUCAACUUGCUGCACUCGUCAGAGAGGGACAACCACGCUGCAAAUAGGAGCGGGGAGGGAAGCGGGGAGUCUGAGAGCCGACUGCUGGCUUCCUGCCCCCCGCUGACCUCUUGGGAUCUCUGACACCGGGCAGCGGGAUCAAGAACGGGUCAGGUCUGGGAUUGCGGGGAGCGGAGAGUGGCAGGCUUUCUGGAAAGCGCCCAGGUUUGUUCCAGCAGCAGAGGUGAGGCUGCCUCCGAGGCAGCGCUGCAACUGUUCUGUUUGGAAACUGGAAAAACCGAAGUCCAGCAGCGGCUUUCCGCAUCGGGACAGCGGGAAGGGCGGGCGGGACCGGGCCGGGGAACGCGAGUGGGGCUCAGCCGAGCACAGAGGCGCUCAGGGGGAGGGGCUCGGCGCAUUUCCUCGCUGUACUGCCGCUGGAAACUUUUUCUCCCGCUGAGGUCUUACUCGCCCGCUGCCCUCUGGGGUCUGCCACGGCUGGUGGGGGGCUGGCUGGGGAACACCCUGUCAUCCCGCAGCCAAGCUUCAGGUGUGCGGGCAGCAGACUCAGGCCAGAGUCGGGGGCGGCGCAGAGCAGGCACCGGGAGCGCGCGCACCCGGGUCUCCCCGGCGGGGUCCUCACCUGUUCCAGCGGGCCACCUUCCUCCGGUAAUACCGCAGCGCCUCCUGGCUGGCCAAGAGAGCGUCUUCCGGACCCAGGAGAGGAGGCUCCUCCGGGACGUUGUACAGCGGGUGGGCGAAGAGGGCCUGCAGCUUGGAGACGCCGCGGCCGCCGCCCUCCGGCUCAGCCCCGCGC